rnacentral:rRNA from 1 species
UACGAGGGGGAGCAAGCGUUGUUCGGAUUUACUGGGCGUAAAGGGCGCGUAGGCGGCGUGACUAGUCACUUGUGAAAUCUCCGGGCUUAACUCGGAACGGUCAAGUGAUACUGUCGUGCUAGAGUACAGAAGGGGCAACUGGAAUUCUCGGUGUAGCGGUGAAAUGCGUAGAUAUCGAGAGGAACACCUGCGGCGAAGGCGGGUUGCUGGGCUGAUACUGACGCUGAUGCGCGAAAGCCAGGGGAGCGAACGGG